UUUCCGUAGGUGAACCUGCGGAAGGAUCAUUAAUGAAUUGUGAAGGAGGUUGAGCUGGUUCUCUUUGGGAAUAUGUGCUUGCCUCUGACAAUCCUUAUCCAUACACCUGUGCACCUUUGAGAAGGGGGGAGGGUCUGAUGAUCUUUCCUCCUUUUCUUUUUCACAAACCCCAUAUUCUAAUCUUGAACGUGAAUUGUGCCCAAAGGCCUUUAAUCAUAAAUACAACUUUUAACAACGGAUCUCUUGGCUCUCGCAUCGAUGAAGAACGCAGC
rnacentral:misc_RNA from 1 species